CUUUUUUUGAUGAUUUUAUUUAUAUAAGCUAUACAGAGCUCUCUACCAUCAAACAGAUGCUAGACAUUAAGACAACCAAAUAAUGUUUGUUUAUUUGUCAAAUAUAUACAAGAGUGUACACUAUUUAAUGCUAACUCAAGACAACUGGGUAUUCAGGUAACAUACAAAAAUACAUUUGCUUAGUGUGUCCGAGUGUGUCUCAGGUGUACAGACACACAAGUGCAGAGAACUGCAGUUACAAAUUGUUAUGCCAGAUAAUGUGAUUUACCCAAAGAUUUUUACCAACAUCUUGUCUAUGUCAAAUCUUUUCUCAUUGAUACAGUUCUGCAACAAAGACACACGCAGGAAAAGGAAUUCUGUUUCUGUAUCUAGAAUCCAUACCAGGAAGAAGCCCAGGUACCACAAGGUAUGAUGGCUUGAGAUUUCAUUGAGGAAGAAAUCAUCAAGCGAUGUGCUGGACCUUAUGUCAGAGAUAUGUUUCUGAGAGCAUGUGAUUUCUUUCAAGACAAUGACCAGGAGACACACUGCCCCCCAGGUUUGCAUUGCAAAUGAGGGGCAUAAACUGGGUCAAGACGCCAGCAGAAUGCAGUGACGUAUCUAUGGAUGCAGUGACGUAUCUAUGGAUGCAGCGACGUAUCUACGGAUGCAGUGACGUAUCUACAGAUGCAGUGACGUAUCUGCGGAUGCAGUGCCGUAUCUAUGGAUGCAGUGACGUAUCUACGGAUGCGGUGACGUAUCUACAGAUGCAGGGACGUAUCUAUGGAUGCAGUGCCGUAUCUAUGGAUGCAGUGACGUAUCUACAGAUGCAGGGACGUAUCUACUGAUGCAGGGACGUAUCUAUGGAUGCAGGGACGUAUCUAUGGAUGCAGUGAUGUAUCUACGGAUGCAGUGACGUAUCUACGGAUGCAGUGACGUAUCUACGGAUGCAGGGACGUAUCUAUGGAUGCAGUGAUGUAUCUACGGAUGCAGUGACGUAUCUACGGAUGCAGUGAUGUAUCUACCGAUGGCAGUGACGUAUCUACGGAUGCAGUGACGUAUCUAUGGAUGCAGGGACGUAUCUACAGAUGCAGAACAAAUAGACUAAUCCAAUGCAGCAGUGGUGUGUGGGUG
rnacentral:lncRNA from 1 species